UUCUUCGUGAUGGGAUCAUCACAAAAACAAAAAACAAAAAAACACCUUUAGGUAACCUCAUCUAUAUUCGCUAGGAAAAAUAUGAGCUUUGGUAUUAAAAAAAUAAUAAUAGAAAGAAAAAAAAAAUGCGAUGCCAUACGCACUGUGUCGUCUUAAAAGACCAACGAAGGUUAAAAGCGAUAAUAUGAUUGGUCGGUUCCUGAACAGUCAUACCUGGGAUUUGAUUGGCUUAGAGAUAACAACAGGAAAAAACGCGCCAUUUGCAGUUUGCCAAAAUAAAUUUAAUAAUAAAUAAUGACAAAACAUUGUGUAUUUUGCACUAUGAAUUAGAUUUGAGAUCAUUUUGAUUGAGCAGAAACAAUCACAGUUUAUUACCGAAUACUUGGCUAUGGCGGAAAAUGAAGAACUUCGGUCAAGUUUCGGAUGUCCUACUAUUUUCGUCACGUUUGGAAGGGAAAAAAACGAAAAAUCGUCAGCGCAUUCUGGUCAUCAUAUUAUGGAAAUAUUUGUGACUGAAUCCCAUCUGAAUGUUGGAUGACAUAUAUCAAGAUGACACUGAACAGGACAUAACUGAGGAAAAUGGAUGUGAGAGAAUCCAAUCUAACAGUUGGAAAUAAAUAUAUAUAUUAUUUA